CCCAGCCAUGUCAAACCAAACCCACUGGAGUAGUAGACUUUUGUUCAGGUCCCCAGGAUGACAGGAGACGUCUUCAAUACUCUCCACUAGUGGCAACGUGAGACCCUUCUAUGAUAUAUUAGGCUAGAUGCUAACUAGGGUGGACGGGGCUAGAUGCUAACUAGGGUGGACGGGGCUAGAUGCUAACUAGGGUGGACGGGGCUAGAUGCUAACUAGGGUGGGCGGGGCUAGAUGCUAACUAGGGUGGACGGGGCUAGAUGCUAACUAGGGUGGACGGGGCUAGAUGCUAACUAGGGUGGAUGGGGCUAGAUGCUAACUAGGGUGGAAGGGGCUAGAGGCUAACUGAGGUGUUGUGGACAAGGCUAGAGGCUAACUAGGGUGGACGGGGCUAGAUGCUAACUAGGGUGGACGGGGCUAGAUGCUAACUAGGGUGGAUGGGGCUAGAGGCUAACUAGGGUGGACGGGGCUAGAGGCUAACUAGGGUGUUGUGGAUGGGGCUAGAGGCUAACUAGGGUGGACGGGGCUAGAUGCUAACUAGGGUGGACGGGGCUAGAUGCUAACUAGGGUGGAUGGGGCUAGAUGCUAACUAGGGUGGACGGGGCUAGAUGCUAACUAGGGUGGACGGGGCUAGAGGCUAACUAGGGUGGUCGGGGCUAGAGGCUAACUGAGGUGGACGGGGCUAGAGGCUAACUAGGGUGGACGGGGCUAGAGGCUAACUGAGGUGGACGGGGAUAGAUGCUAACUGAGGUGGAAGGGCUAGAUGCUAACUAGGGUGUUGUGGACAGGGCUAGAGGCUAAGUAGGGUGGACGGGGCUAGAGGCUAACUGAGGGUGUUGUGGACGGGGC
ensembl:lncRNA